ensembl:lncRNA
GCAGUUGGAAUAUGUGGUUAUUGAGUUGACUAGUCUGUCUAUAGGUGUGAAUUCUAAUUAGUUUAAUUUAGAAUCUGAGACAUAUGAUUAUAUUCACUGUGACAUUUCUUAAGGGGCACAGUGCGUGGGUGUAUGUGAAUAGUGUGACGAUCCACAGUCCACUUGUGACUGUUAAGUCAUUUUUCGGGUUCCAGUUUGCUUUUUAGAUUUGAUUUUUCUGAACUCUGACUAGGCUUAGGUAAGCCCAAGAGCAGCUCGGUUUCAAGCUGAAACUGCUCUCACAUUACAGUUGAUUGUGCAAGCAAAUUAUUGAGAAACAUAAUUGUGUUUCCUUGUGACAGUGACCUUUAGUUAUCAUAAUCACUGUCACAGUGAUUAUGUGACAGUUUUUUUUUUUUCGCCUGUCCUGUUUGGCUCUUUUGCCAUCAGAAUUAUUGUCUAAAGGCAAAGAAAGAUGCCCAACGGAUUUACUUUACCAAAUUGACCAUCCCAGCCUUGCCAUAAUGGUCCAUUUGAUUCACCUUUUAUUGUUUAUUUUAUUUUCACUUGCUGAAUACGGGACAGACUUGAAUGGAGGAAAGAAGGGGAGAAAGAAAGAGGGAAAGAGAAACAGCUGAGAAGAGGGACGGGGGAGAAGGGCAAAAGACAAAAACCAACAGAACGGGCAGGAAAAAAAAAGAAAAGAAAAAAAAAUGCAUAUAUCGAUCACCUGGAUCACCUGUUGAGAAAGAAAAAAGAAAACAAGCAGAAGAGAACAAGAGUAAUAGAACAAACAACAUCACAAUGAUAUAUGGGAAUAUGACAGUAAAUACUAAAUAUUAAACAUUAUUGUGCAGCAAUAAUUUAGAAGUGUCUGCCACUUCUAAAAGAGACUGGCAAAGAAAAUAGCCAAGAGGCAGAAAGAAAGUGUGAGUCAGGCAGUCCAGCUCAGCCAGUCACUUAUGUGCACAAAGCCCCAGAAACAGCUCUGGGUGCCAAUAUACUUUCACUGAAUUUGCAACAGGUGACGAAGCUUUCAACAUUAAGGCCUCCUGGCCCACUCAUAACACUGUUGAACCAUUAAAAAAAUAGAUUUAGCAAAAAAAACCCAAAACAAAAUAAAGAUGUACCUUGGGCUCAAUGGUGUUAUUGCAAUGUGUUUCUGCUCUUUGUGUUCUUUGAUUGGUCGAUAAAUUGACUAACAUUGGAAACAGUCAUUUGUUUCUAGCUUUCUGUUCUUAUUUUCUUACUUUGGUGACCCUCCUGUGUUUUUGUUGAACAGAUUUGCCUUUGUGCUGCUACACAGAUGGAGGUCGAUGAUAUCAUGUGCACAGUU